GCUUGGAUCUCUCGAGAGCCAAGGAAAGGGCGGGCGUGGGAACCCUCCUUUUAAGUUUACUUCUUCCCCUCCCCAGCCCCGCGCCCCAGACUUGUUCUUUGUUUCUAUUUUGAAAAGGCUUCUGGGGUCACUAGGUCGUCUUUAGCACCCCCACUUUUUGUGCAGGUUUAGCUUGCCCCCCCCUCCACCGAAUAUAUUUCUUUCAUUUUUGGAGGGGUAGUCACUUCGACCUGUCACUUUUUGGGGGAGGGGCACCGAGAAACCUGGGAUUGGGUUAGUUAAUUCCCAUCUCGUUCCUCCCGGGUGUUACUUGUCUUAGGGAGGGAUUUCCCCUGGAGCGGGGUGGGUGGGAGGGAGGGAAAACUUCUCUGAUCUCUUUCCAGGACCUCUUUGGUGGAGGCUCCCCUGGAUCAGUGUCUUCACAUUGACCAUUGGGGACUGGCAGUAGGGGACCCUUUGGGAGGGAAGUAGUGGGAAGAAUUGGAAGACUGAGUGAGGGAUGCCCCCUGUGAAACCUUGAUAAGUGUUGAGGGUUUUGAACUUCUGGCAGAUAUAGAAUCCUGGGUGUGUGUGUGUGUAUGGGUGUGUGUUGGGGGGGUGGGGUGGGCAAGAGAUUAAUAUUCAGUAGAAGAAACUCAAACAAUCACAUUUCAACCACCAGUUUAUUUUCAAAGGGGGUCAAGUUUGGGAUUCAAGGUGCAAAAGUCCUGUGAGCAAGAUCUGACUGCUGAUCCCAGUUUGUAUUUGGGAGCCAUGACACAAUGGUAAUGGAAAGUCCUGAAAAGACUUCACUCUCCUGUAUUUGUCCAAGGGUCUAAAGUCCUAGAGGAUGACCUAGCACUUAAGAACCCAUCCUGGGCCUUUUUAGGGCCAACAGUGAGUAAAGAGACCUGGCUGAGCCAAAACAGUGAGACCAGGUCAAAAAUAAGCCAGGUGCCUGUUCAAAAGUUCUUGACAUUUUUGCUUGAGAGCCAGGCAUUUGGGGUGUAUUAGACCCUUAAUCAGGGACUACUGAAUUACAUUAGUACAAUCUUUGGAAGAGUUGGGGGUUUUUCUGUUUUUGUUUUUGUUUUUGUUUUUGUUUUUUUGAGAAGAAAAGUUGGGAAAACCAAGAACUCAAGAUUGACUUAAGAGAUCCUGGUGUGUCUAAAGAAACCUGGUUAAGGAGUUUAAUCCAGGAUGGAUUUGACAGAACCACAGCAGUUGGGCAUGUUUACAGAAAGUGAACUUAUGUCUGUGGGUAUGGACACAUUUAUUCACCGAAUAGACUCCACUGAGGUCAUCUACCAGCCAAGACGAAAAAGGGCCAAACUCAUUGGCAAAUACCUGAUGGGAGAUUUGCUGGGAGAAGGAUCUUAUGGGAAAGUGAAGGAGAUGUUGGACUCUGAAACACUUUGUAGGAGAGCUGUGAAAAUCCUCAAAAAGAAGAAGUUGCGUAGAAUCCCCAAUGGGGAGGCGAAUGUUAAAAAGGAAAUUCAGCUACUGAGGAGGUUACGACACAAAAACGUCAUACAGCUGGUGGAUGUAUUGUAUAAUGAAGAGAAGCAGAAAAUGUAUAUGGUGAUGGAAUACUGUGUGUGUGGGAUGCAGGAGAUGCUGGACAGCGUUCCAGAGAAAAGAUUUCCAGUCUUUCAGGCUCACGGGUACUUUUGUCAGCUUAUAGAUGGGUUAGAAUAUUUGCAUAGCCAAGGAAUUGUCCACAAGGAUAUAAAACCAGGGAACCUACUGCUUACAACCAAUGGGACGCUAAAAAUAUCUGAUUUAGGAGUAGCAGAGGCAUUGCAUCCUUUUGCAGAAGAUGAUACAUGCAGAACGAGCCAAGGGUCACCAGCAUUCCAGCCACCAGAAAUAGCCAAUGGCUUAGACACCUUUUCAGGCUUUAAAGUGGACAUUUGGUCAGCUGGGGUCACACUAUACAACAUUACAACAGGUCUUUACCCCUUUGAAGGGGACAACAUCUAUAAAUUAUUUGAAAACAUCGGGAAAGGGGAUUAUACAAUUCCAGGUGAUUGUGGUCCACCACUCUCUGACCUGCUGAAAGGCAUGCUUGAAUAUGAACCAUCCAAGAGAUUUUCAAUACAGCAGAUACGGCAGCACAACUGGUUUCGUAAGAAACACCCCCAGGCAGAGGCCCUGGUUCCCAUUCCUCCCAGCCCGGAAACCAAGGACAGGUGGCGAAGUAUGACAGUGGUGCCUUAUCUGGAGGAUCUGCAUGGCUACAAUGAGGAAGAGGACGAUGACCUCUUUGACAUUGAGGAUGACAUCAUCUAUACUCAGGAUUUUACAGUACCAGGUGACGAGGAGACCUCUGAGACAGGGCUUAGAGAGGCGAGAACAGAACAGAAGAGUGAACAAUCAGAAUUUUCUCGAGAGGAAGCUCAGCCACCAGACGACAGUCUAAUGAGAGAGGAGGCAAAGGCUUAGCAUAGUUGCACAAGCUACCGUGGAAGCCCUGUAGUUGGGGAGAGCAGCUUGUGCCGUGUGGUCAGCCCGGGGUUCGAGUGUCACCGAGCAAGCGGAACGUCUAUGGAUUUGUGAAAAACAAGACUGAGGAGUGUUGAUUUGAAAGAGCAAAACAGAAAUUCCACAGGAAGGAGGGGCAGGCAUAUAGGAAAUGGAAAGGAUGUUUGGAACUCCUAAGUAUCAUUUUCAUGCUGCCUUUCCUACCCUCACCCCCCUUACCACAGGGAUGAGAGGAGAAAAAUUAGAGACAUUUUUUAGCUUUUAUGCUCUUCUGCAAACUGGAGACACAAGAGACACCAUGUUAUAAGGGAAAGAUAUGGAGUUAGAAUCUUGGUUCCAGUUGCCCAUGGAACCCCUGUCUUCUCUGAAUCUACUCUUUCCUCUGUUGCUUUCUUCCUGAGCUUUUGGGGAAUGGGAUGGGGAAAGAAACAAACCCAAUUCUUUGGUCUGGAUAUUCUUCCUCUCUGCCCACCAUUUUCUACUGUGAUAACCAAAACCCCUCAGAGGUAAACAAGACCAGAGGAGAUGAACCAGUUGAGGUGUCAAGUUUGUAAGUCUACAAGCAUUUAGCUCUCACCACAUGCCAGACACUGGGCUAAGUGCAAGAGGCACAAAGAAAGGCAAAAACAUAGUCACUGCUUUCGAAGAGGGCAUCCGGAUGAAGGGGACAGCAUACAAACAGUUAAGCUCUCCCUGACUUCCCACAGGAAAUCACUUUUCCCUCCUGGCCUUAGCAUGAGGAACAAAGAUACCUUUCUGGAUCUAAAUCCUAAGAUCCUGGGCAGCUUGGUUCUCUAACCCUCGGUGAUUUCCAGACUAAUCAUUUGGAGUAAUCAUCAUCAUCAUCAUCAUUUCUCUUCACAACUUCACAACACCACCCCCACCCCCCCCCAAAAAAAAUAAAAAUGAAAAAAAUAAAAAGCAGAACACCAGCUUUGCUCUAUAAUGAGA